UGAAAUAGGAUUUUGGUUCACCCCUCACGCGUCUACUCUUCUCGCUCACGACUCAGUCCUCUCUCUCGAUCUUAUCCUCUCUUUCUCUCUCACCCUCGCAUCCUCAUCCUCACAUGACCUUAUCCUCUCACUCUCUCCCCCAUCUCUCCCCCGUCCUAAUCCAAAUCUCCCUGCGAAACGAACACGAGAGGAAGACUAGAGUACUAGACUAGAGGAGAAACUGCUCUCUCAGCGAUCGGCGAGGCCUCUUACGAUGUUAAUUUCCCGUCUGAUUCUUCGUUUCUCCGCUUAUUUUUCUAUGAUUUUUCCGUGUUUCUUCUUUGUUGUGUUGAGAAUCACGUUUUGGUGGGAAGAACUUAUGGGGAUUCAAAACUUUUGGUUUUUUUUACCCUAAAAUUCGGAUCAGAAGUAGAAGAGGGCAUAAUGAUUUUGAGAAAAUCCACUGGGAUUUUUCGAACUUGUACUUAGGGAUUAGUAUAGUUGUUAAACAUAUAGAUGCUUAAUUUUUUUCCCAUCAUUUCAAUCGUUAUCCUGCAAGGUUUCGAUAGUGCUUCUGAUUAUUUCCCCUUUUCUCAUCGCAUCUGUGUGGCUUUGUUCAGGUGGUGCUGCAACCAGAUCAGUUCCUGAGCGAGCUGACGAGCAUGUACGAGCGAAGCAUAGAGAAGGGCUGCGUGUGGGUCACCAUGAAGUGAUGGCCCCAGCAAGGAAAGGAGGGGAUGAGACAAUACUGAGUGAGGUGGUACAAGUAGGUUAUUUGGUUAGAUAUAUACGAUAGUAUGAGAAUGUAUUUGGUUGGUUAUAUGAAAUGGAAUGAUUCGGUACAAGAUUCUAUUGAAUGGAUUGAUCCUGGA